UCCUUUAAUUUUUUUAGUUCUGGCUUCGGCCUGUCAAUGCCACAUGCGUUGCCAUCUUUACUCAAGCUCCAGUUCUGUCUGUCAGCCAAGAGUUCAACAGGUGGCGUGUCCUCUUUUAGAAACAUACGCUGCCGGCGCGACUUGUGGACUUUCCUGAAGAAGAUCUAGGCUAUGGAGAAAGCGUGAGCGCAUGAAAAGAUUCAGCAACAUAACAUAUUUGUCGCCAAUGACAGAUGAAAAUGGCUGUGUUCAAGCAACAGCAAGUCGAGAAUUUCUAUGAGAUUGGAGAGGAACUUGGAAGUGGACAGUUUGCAAUCGUUAAGCAGUGUCGUGAAAAGAGUUCAGGCCGGGAUUUUGCAGCCAAGUUCAUAAAAAAGCGUCAGAAUAAUGCCAGUCGGCGAGGUGUGCUUCGAGAAGAGAUUGAGCGAGAGGUCAACAUUCUGCAGCAGAUUCACCAUCCCAAUAUUGUCAUGCUGCAUGACGUGUACGAAAACAAGACAGAUGUGGUGCUGAUUUUGGAGCUGGUGUCUGGAGGGGAGCUUUUUGACUUUCUGGCACAGAAAGAGUCUUUGAGUGAGGAGGAGGCCACACAGUUCAUUAAACAGAUACUAGAGGGUGUGCAUUAUCUGCACUCAAGGAAUAUCGCUCAUUUUGACCUGAAGCCUGAAAACAUCAUGCUCCUGGAUAAGAAUGCCCCUCUACCCCGGAUCAAACUCAUUGAUUUCGGGUUGGCCCACAAAAUUGCUGAGGGGGUUGAAUUCAAAAACAUCUUUGGAACGCCAGAAUUUGUUGCUCCUGAAAUUGUGAAUUAUGAACCAUUGGGACUGGAAGCAGAUAUGUGGAGUGUUGGUGUUAUUACAUAUAUUCUGUUGAGCGGGGCGUCUCCCUUCUUGGGAGAGACAAAACAAGACACUUUGGGAAACAUCUCAGCAAUGAACUAUGAGUUUGAUGAUGAGUUCUUUGGCCACACCAGUGAGCUUGCCAAGAAUUUUAUACGACAACUGCUGGAAAAAGACACCAAAAAAAGACUCACAAUUCAAGACACAUUGAACCACCCCUGGAUAAAGUCUAAUGAGCAUAAGGACGAGCGCAUUAAAGCUCCAGAGAGGAAGAGAGAGCGUAGGCAGCUGAAGACCAAGCGUCUUAAGGAGUACACCAUUAAGUCCCACUCCAGCAUGCCCCCUAAUAACACCUACAUCAACUUUGAACGAUUCGCUCAGCUGGAGGAGGAAAUCUCGGCUAUGGAAGGCACUUUCUGCCAGCUGGCCUCGGCCCAUGACUCCCUGCAGGAAGACAUUGAUGCUCUAGUUUCUAUAUACAAUGAGAAGGAGAUGUGGUACAAAGAAGAGAGCGAGAGCAUCCGACACGAGUUAUCCCAGCUUCGUUAUGAGUUUCGUAAAGUUGAGGCGCAGAGGCGGGCCGUUCAGGAAGACAUGAGGAGUGUGGAUGCCAGUGUGAGCAGAGUUAGUGAGCGAUAUAAGGAGAGGCAAACACACUUUGAGGCCCUGCAGAAAGAGCUGUGUGCUGAACUGCAGUGGGUUCAGGAAGUGGUGGGUUCAUUCCAGGUCACCUUCCCAAACUGUAGCUUUAGCAGUGUGUUCAAUACCGAUGUCAAUGAAGCACUGAAAGAACUGCUGAACAGAACCUGUGGAGGAGACUUGCUGACAGGUAGCAAUCAGGACCAGCAGAGAUGAUGCAUUAAUAACCUCCCACCCACUGACAACACAUCGUUAUACAAACACAUGAGAGUUAAACAUGCUAAAGGCACUUUGCAUUAAAGGCUCAACAGUGCUGAGGCUUAAAACUGAAGUUGAGGAGUGAAGGAAGCAGAAAACUCCCAGCUCAUACGUCUUCCCCGUGGUGGAUUGUGGGCAGUUAACCAUCGUUGAGUGUACGUCAGAUGUGUGGGUAAUAAUGAGUGAACAAAAGUAGGGAACGAGUGGCUCACUCAGAAUUCAGACACUCCUGCAAAAUCCUACACUUCAUUUAUUAAAUUCUGAUGUUUUUUAAUGGUGCUGCAAAGGUUAUUUUGGUGACUAUUGUUUUCCUCUAAUAUCAGUGUAAAAUAGUUCUCAUCUGAAGAGCUGUUGAGAUAAAGCAAGAUGUGGUUUUGAUUUGAAAUAGUCUAGAUAUAUUUAAAAUUGUUGUGUUUCUUUAUAAAUAUGUGAUUAGCUGUGACUGAAUUUGUUUUGUGAUGCAGUGUUUAGACAGAAUAUUGGAUACUAACUUUUUUUCAUUUCAAUAUUUUCAUUUCAGAAAAUAUUUUAAAGUUGUCAUUUUCAGUAUGUUAAAUUGUAUUCAUUCAUCCAUACUUUGAUGAUGUACUUCAAAGCUUCCUUUCUAUAUGUUGUAGUGUUUAUACACUAUUACACAUUGAUAAACAGUAUAUUUCUUAUUUCUCCUUUUAAAAAAAGAGGUUUCCUGGCGUAUGGUGCUUCCAAAAAUGUUAUUAAAACAUUACUGUAUGUUUGAUACCCCCCCAUGUAUCUGCAUUGUCACAUGUCAUAGAGAAAUGACAAAUAACCUGAUUGUGUAAGUUCAAAUGAUAAACCACCACUGCCUGGGAUUUUUAAGUGACUGUCAUACUGAUUUUUAGAGCUUUUCAUUCAUAUGCUGCUGCUGCUGUAAUGAUUUGAUUUGUUUCAGCAGAGUAUGCAGAGCCCUUGGAGACAAGUUAAAUCAGUUUUCAGCUCCAGGAAAAUGUGUUUACAAAAUAGUAGAAUAAUUACAGUGCCCACAUACAUCAACACAAGCCAGAGUGUUGCAACAAGGCCUCAGGGUCCUCUGUUGUUAGGUAACAGUAAGAGCAGUGACCUAUUGGUGUUUGACCACUAUCCCUUCAAAAGGUUAUAGACAGGUGAAGGAUGAUUGAAUGUUUUAAUUAAAUCAAAGGGCAAUUAGUGCUGUGUUUCAGCCCUCAAACAGUUUGUUAACAUGUGAUAAUUUGCUAACUUUUCUAUUUCUUUAGUGUUAGACACACUGAGACCAACCCCUGAAAGUAAGAUAUGCAUAGCUUAUUCUUAUUAAAUUAUAAGAUUU